UAUACCAACUGGGUGUUUAUGGGAAUACUUUUGUAUCACCCGUUAGGUCAACUGCUUGAGCUGUCAACGAGCUGAGAUGUCAACAAUCAUAUUUUCUUCAAAGCGUGAAUCGAGGAUGGUUGUUUAUUUCACAGGGUAUUUCUGACGGCUCUGUUUCGUGCAUGCAUCUUCAGCGCUCGAUAAUGUUGCCGCACGUUCGAAAUCAUUUUGGAUACACUUACGGUGGUCACUCAGAAGUGCCAGCCAAUGUUCCAAACUUGUGCAGUGGCUUGCUGCUUCGGCAAGUGCGGCACGUCGUUAAUUAUAUAAAUAUUCGGCGAUAUGUUUAUUUAGUUUUACCGAUCUGGGACAAAAUCGAUGUGUUUUUAAAAUAUAAAUAGUGUAAAUGUG